rnacentral:snRNA from 1 species
ACUCUUGUUUCUCUUCAGAUCGUAUAAAUCUUUUGCCUUUUACUAAAGAUUUCUGUGGGGAGGAACAACAAGACUUUGAUUCAAUUUUUUGAUGCCAUGCAAUAGUAGGGCU